UUGAACGCUGGCGGCAGGCCUAACACAUGCAAGUCGAGCGGUAGCACAGAGAGCUUGCUCUCGGGUGACGAGCGGCGGACGGGUGAGUAAUGUCUGGGAAACUGCCUGAUGGAGGGGGAUAACUACUGGAAACGGUAGCUAAUACCGCAUAAUGUCGCAAGACCAAAGUGGGGGACCUUCGGGCCUCAUGCCAUCAGAUGUGCCCAGAUGGGAUUAGCUAGUAGGUGGGGUAACGGCUCACCUAGGCGACGAUCCCUAGCUGGUCUGAGAGGAUGACCAGCCACACUGGAACUGAGACACGGUCCAGACUCCUACGGGAGGCAGCAGUGGGGAAUAUUGCACAAUGGGCGCAAGCCUGAUGCAGCCAUGCCGCGUGUGUGAAGAAGGCCUUCGGGUUGUAAAGCACUUUCAGCGGGGAGGAAGGCGUUAAGGUUAAUAACCUUGGCGAUUGACGUUACCCGCAGAAGAAGCACCGGCUAACUCCGUGCCAGCAGCCGCGGUAAUACGGAGGGUGCAAGCGUUAAUCGGAAUUACUGGGCGUAAAGCGCACGCAGGCGGUCUGUCAAGUCGGAUGUGAAAUCCCCGGGCUCAACCUGGGAACUGCAUUCGAAACUGGCAGGCUAGAGUCUUGUAGAGGGGGGUAGAAUUCCAGGUGUAGCGGUGAAAUGCGUAGAGAUCUGGAGGAAUACCGGUGGCGAAGGCGGCCCCCUGGACAAAGACUGACGCUCAGGUGCGAAAGCGUGGGGAGCAAACAGGAUUAGAUACCCUGGUAGUCCAAGCGGUAAACGAUGUCGAUUUGGAGGUUGUGCCCUUGAGGCGUGGCUUCCGGAGCUAACGCGUUAAAUCGACCGCCUGGGGAGUACGGCCGCAAGGUUAAAACUCAAAUGAAUUGACGGGGGCCCGCACAAGCGGUGGAGCAUGUGGUUUAAUUCGAUGCAACGCGAAGAACCUUACCUGGUCUUGACAUCCACAGAACUUUCCAGAGAUGGAUUGGUGCCUUCGGGAACUGUGAGACAGGUGCUGCAUGGCUGUCGUCAGCUCGUGUUGUGAAAUGUUGGGUUAAGUCCCGCAACGAGCGCAACCCUUAUCCUUUGUUGCCAGCGGUUCGGCCGGGAACUCAAAGGAGACUGCCAGUGAUAAACUGGAGGAAGGUGGGGAUGACGUCAAGUCAUCAUGGCCCUUACGACCAGGGCUACACACGUGCUACAAUGGCAUAUACAAAGAGAAGCGACCUCGCGAGAGCAAGCGGACCUCAUAAAGUAUGUCGUAGUCCGGAUUGGAGUCUGCAACUCGACUCCAUGAAGUCGGAAUCGCUAGUAAUCGUAGAUCAGAAUGCUACGGUGAAUACGUUCCCGGGCCUUGUACACACCGCCCGUCACACCAUGGGAGUGGGUUGCAAAAGAAGUAGGUAGCUUAACCUUCGGGAGGGCGCUUACCACUUUGUGAUUCAUGACUGGGGUG
rnacentral:rRNA from 1 species